GGAAUUUUGGACAAUGGGGGCAACCCUGAUCCAGCAAUGCCGCGUGUGCGAAGAAGGCCUUCGGGUUGUAAAGCACUUUUGUCAGGGAAGAAAUCUUUUGGGCUAAUACCCCGGAAGGAUGACGGUACCUGAAGAAUAAGCACCGGCUAACUACGUGCCAGCAGCCGCGGUAAUACGUAGGGUGCAAGCGUUAAUCGGAAUUACUGGGCGUAAAGCGUGCGCAGGCGGUUCGCUAAGACAGUCGUGAAAUCCCCGGGCUUAACCUGGGAACUGCGAUUGUGACUGGCGAGCUAGAGUACGGCAGAGGGGGGUGGAAUUCCUGGUGUAGCAGUGAAAUGCGUAGAGAUCAGGAGGAACACCGAUGGCGAAGGCAGCCCCCUGGGCUAGUACUGACGCUCAUGCACGAAAGCGUGGGGAGCAAACAGGAUUAGAUACCCUGGUAGCCCACGCCCUAAACGAUGUCAAUUAGUUGUUGGUUCUUCAUUGAAUCAGUAACGAAGCUAACGCGUGAAAUUGACCGCCUGGGGAGUACGGUCGCAAGAUUAAAACUCAAAGGAAUUGACGG
rnacentral:rRNA from 1 species